AAACCAACAGGGAUUGCCCUAGUAACGGCGAGUGAAGCGGCAACAGCUCAAAUUUGAAAUCUGGCCUCGGCCCGAGUUGUAAUUUGCAGAGGAUGCUUCUGGCGCGGUGCCUUCCGAGUUCCCUGGAACGGGACGCCACAGAGGGUGAGAGCCCCGUAUGGUCGGACACCAAGCCUGUGUGAAGCUCCUUCGACGAGUCGAGUAGUUUGGGAAUGCUGCUCUAAAUGGGAGGUAAAUCUCUUCUAAAGCUAAAUACCGGCCAGAGACCGAUAGCGCACAAGUAGAGUGAUCGAAAGAUGAAAAGUACCUUGAAAAGGGGGUUAAAUAGUACGUGAAAUUGUUGAAAGGGAAGCACUUAUGACCAGACUUGGGCCGGGCGGCUCAUCAGGGGUUCUCCCCUGUGCACUCCGCCCGGCACAGGCCAGCAUCGGUUCUCGUGGGGGGAUAAGACCGUCAGGAACGUAGCACCCUCCGGGGUGUGUUAUAGCCUGGCGGACGAUACCCCCGUGGGGACCGAGGUCCGCGCUCCGCAAGGAUGCUGGCGUAAUGGUCAUCAGUGACCCGUCUUGAAACACGGACCAAGGAGUCGUCCAUUAGAGCGAGCGUUUGGGUGUAAAACCCGCACGCGUAAUGAAAGUGAACGCAGGUGAGAGCUUCGGCGCAUCAUCGACCGAUCCUGAUGUUCUCGGAAGGAUUUGAGUAAGAGUUUUAACGGACGGACCCGAAAGACAGUGAACUAUGCUUGUAUAGGGUGAAGCCAGAGGAAACUCUGGUGGAGGCUCGCAGCGGUUCUGACGUGCAAAUCGAUCGUCAAAUAUGAGCAUGGGGGCGAAAGACUAAUCGAACUGUCUAGUAGCUGGUUACC
rnacentral:rRNA from 1 species